UUCAUGAAUGUAUUUUAUUUUUCAACCUCGCCCGUCAAAGUUAGUAGCCGGAUCUGAACACCUGAUUGAGCCAAUACAGUAGGCUGCUAAAGACUGCUAUUAUGGUUAUGUCAUGCUGGUUUCACAAUCAACAGCUAUUUGACUAAUUUAAAGAGCAUACGACACGAGAAAAAAAGUCUUAAAUGGCAUUAUUAUGUGAAUUAGAAUCAUAUUUUGAGACGAUUCGACUAUAUACAACAAUUUAGCAAAGCACAGAUGACGAGAAAUUAGCCUUUUAAUCUGCCAGUUAGCCACGCCUACCAUUAUAGGGCUUUAGCGUCCCCAACAGGUGGAUGACGUCAGCGGUAGACUGGUCUCAUCGAUUUUACUAUUCAGCCCAUUGAGGGGGAAUUAUUCAGAACGAGGAAAACGCGACGAAGAAAGCCGCCAAAUGUCAUUGUUUCAGUCUCUCUACUCCAAUAUUUUUACAGGAUAUUCUUUUUAUCCAAGUAUUUUUCCCCAAUAGCAAUAUAAAUGGCUUGAGAAGGACCAGUCAGCCCGUCGAGGGAGACCUAUUCAGAACGAGGAAAACGCGACGAAGAGAGCAGCAAAAUGUCAUUGUUUCUGUCUCUUUACUUCAAUAUUUUUACAGGAUAUUCUUUUUAUCCAAGUAUUUUUCCCCAAUAGCUAUAUAAAUGGCUUGAGAAGGACCAGUCAGCCCGUCGAGGGGGAACUAUUCACAAUGAGGAAAACGCGACGAAGAGAGCGGCAAAAUGUCAUUGUUUCUGUCUCUUUACUUCAAUAUUUUUACAGGAUAUUCUUUUUAUCCAAGUAUUUUCCCCAAUUGCUAAAUAAAUGGCAUGGUCAUGACAAAUAACAGUCUUGUGCUGAAUGGAAUAUGAAAUAAUAAAAAUGCAUUUAUUCAGGACGACAUGGCAAAAUUACUCCAUAAUGGUCAAAACUGUCGACUUCACCUUUACUGUCGCACCUCCCGAACUAUAUUUUAUGACACCUAAAUCGGACAUAUGUCAUUUCCCUUCCCCGGCUUCGGAGAAUGUAAACAAACCAGAAGGCGUGACAGCUAGCCGACAUGCUAACCCGAACCGAGUGAUGUUUCAAAGUCUUCAAAACGGAAAAUCACACAUAACUAUCCUGGAUUAUUUGACAUGACGACCCGGUUGUCUAUUGUUGUCGCGGAUCGGCAAACCGCCCGGCGGAGAGCAAUUUACAGUUCGUUCCCCGGAGGAGGGUGGCUGGAGUUGUUGUGGAGCUAACGGGCUGCUGCUAAUGACCAUUAGGACAGCUUUUUACAUGCCUAUCAAUGAUCAAACAUGCUCUUCUGAAAUAUUUUCCUUCCACCUCUGCACAUCCUGAGUCAUUUUUUACAGGUACCUUAUCCACAUCAGCACCAAGCCCAAACCCACGAAGUCCAUUACCUUCCCACACACAAACUGCAGUGGACAAAGAAGUACAGUGUGAGUGUAUAAAUAUUUGUGUUGAAAAUAGCAAUUGUCACGGGUGGGGGGCACCAGCAAGUACGUUGCCUAGGCCUAGGGUACCAAACUGGUCAGAAACGGCCCUGAGGACAAGUGACUAUUUUUUGUCAUGAAAAAAAAAAAAUCUAUUGUAGCAUCUACAAGGACAACACCCACUUGGCGAUGAGGAUGCCUACUCAACUAACGCUGCAGCUAUCGAAUAUUUUAGUAAUGGAGUAUUUGACUGAAAAUUCUAUCGAGUAAUCGGAUAAAACAUAUAUUUUUUUAGGUAAAGAGCAAUUAUACAUAUACAGUUGUUCUCCCCACUGUACAUGAGAAAACAAGACAUUUCAUCUAAUAUUAAACCAUUUUCAGUCAAUCAAUGUCUAUAUUUUCGAUGUACAUUGUUGAAAACAGCCAACAAUUGCAUCUCAGAUGUGACGAAAAUUUAAAAAAAAAAAAAAAGACUAAUUCACUGCUUUCGCUCAAAAAACUUGUAGAUCUUACAAAAAAAAACAAAAAACGAAUUUCUUACCUAAAAAUGUCAUUAGCACACAUAUGAUGAGCUGUGAUCUAACAUCAACAUUAAUGACGCCUCCAGGCGCGAAGAUUCAUGGUCGCAUUUUAUCUAUAAUCCGACUGAAAGAAGCUCCCGCCCGCCACACUCGUGGCCACAUACUUGAUGGAGAAAAUACCUGUACUACGAAUCUGAAACGGCACCUUAAAGUUCAACACGCUGAUAUUUAUGCAAAGGUAAGUUAUUAAAAGUCAUUUUAAGAUAUCAUAGACCUAUAGUUUUAUUCAGUGAACAAUCCUAUUUCAUUUCAAUAUGUAUUUAAAGAUUUUUGGUGUACAUGGAGCCCCAAGUUUAGGCUAACAAUUUAGUUAUUUGUGCUGCUAUUAAUAAGCCUUUGAUAGUAAACAAUGUGCAGCCUGCUAACAUCAUGUAAUGGGAAGAACAUUUUGCCAUAUUUGAUCACACAUCACGCGCUUUAAUCUGUAUUUGGACUGUCUAAUACAUCGUGUAAAGACGUGUUGCUGUUCCCCAUAGGUUUAAAAUGACAGCAAAUCUUAAUUGACCUGUAUAAAGUUUGAACAUAUGCAGCAUAUGUGUACAAACAAUGACUGAACUUCUCUCUGUUUAUUAAGCAUGUUGCUGCGUGCUACAUGGGAUUAUGAUAACAGUGUAACGGAGCCCAUUUUUUCCCCCUUGAUCGAUAGUUAUCUCGUUCACUUGCAUUGACGGUAAUAGAUAAGGUUGUAAUGGUACUCAAAAAUCUCGGUUCGGUUCGUACCUCAGUUUUGAGGUCACGGUUCGGUUCAUUUUCGGUACAGUAAGAAAACAAAAUGCCAAAUAUAAAUGUACUCGUUGUUUAUUACACACCUUUGUGCUUUCAGCAAUAGGAACAUUAGCCUAUACAAAGCUAGAAUUCUGCUCAAAAAGUAGCGGGUAUUCAAAAAUAAUCCAACAACAAUUUGCCUUUCAGACCCCGGGUAUUGGAGAAAGCUGAAAAAAGAAGUCCUGUGCUAAAGAGAAAAGCAAUCCCAAUGACAAAGACUUUAACAUGUAUUUUACGAAUGAAAUGCCUCAAUUAAUCAUUUUUUUUUCUUAUGAACGGUUUUCAAAAGCUUUAUUGGUGGAUUUUCUCAAGUUAAAGCGCCACAUUUAAUUGUGUAAGCAGGAUUUGUGUAUUAUUCUUAUUAUUUAAUUACAGGUGUUUUAGCUCAUUUCAAUUUAUUUUAUUUAAAUGGGCUAUUAUUUAUUUUAUUAUUUGUUUAUAUUUUACAAAUGUAAUGUAGUAUUCAUUUAUAUUGUAUAUUUUAUGUUGUAUAACUUAAGUUCCUAUGUGAAUAUUAGUUCCUACUUAUUUUCUUGUGGUACGAGGGUUUUGUAUUGAACACGGGGCCGUGUUGGUUAUUAUUGUAGCAGAGAAGACAGCAGCAAAUCAACAAAGACAAGUCAACUGUGCCCCGAUCUACCACUCAAGAGAUCUGAUGGAACUAAAAAAUCCCCGAGGUCAAAAUGUCGUCUAGUAUUGCCACAGUGUUCAAAAAUAAGCCAGACUCGUUGGAACAAUGUGCCAAAGAAAUGCGCUUUUUCUGUGGAUUGGGCGUACCGAACUACCUGCUUCCAUAGGUGAGUUACUGCAGUGCAAUUCAAUUUGGACUUGUUCUGAGUGGGCCAGGAGUUGGUUAUUAGUUUUGUGUUGUUUUACAGAUAAUCAGGGUUUGGCUUAUUUUAAUUUCCAAACAUGUUAUGUACGCUUCCUUAAGUUCCUUAUAAAUUCUAAGCUACAUAUAACUUGUACCUCGCUGCAUGGCCGGAAUUUUAUUUUUACUGCAUUCAUUGCGUAAAUUUCACCAAAAUAAAGCUAGUGUUGUGAAAAUAAGUGUUGACUGUCAAUGUUCAUUCGAAAUUGUUGGAAACCGUUAUUUUUUUUAACUUAAAACCUUGUGUAUCCAUCAACCAAUACUAGUCCAAAAUUUUUUGAGUGUUCGUCAACUAAAACUUGUUUGAAUAAUCAUCGACUAAGACUUAACACAUUUUGAAAUGACUAAAAUGAAUGAAUGAAUGAAUGAAUAAAAUAUGACUAAGACUUAUAAGUAUUUUCGUCCAAAAGUCUAAGACAAUCUAGUCGAUUGACAAAAGCGAGAACUUUUGUCGAAAAGACAAAAGACUAAAAUGAAAUGAGCUGCCAAAAACAACAAUGCCUGGAAGUGGCCCGGAAGUCCUUUUCUCUCUUGUAUUUCCCCUUUGCAAACAAGCUCAUUACAUUACUGCAAACAAGUCAAUUUAACUGUGAAGGAGUUUGUAAGAAAAACAAAACAAAACACAAUCUUACUGGUCGCAAAUGUGCAAGUAGAUGAAAAAAAUACUCGCUCUGGCUCUAAUUAUAGUUGCAAAAUGCCCCCAUUUGGGGGCAGUCUGGAGUUCUGGAAACUAUA